GGGGGUGUAGCUCAGUUGGUUUAGAGUACAUGCUUGUCACGCAUGAGGUCGCGGGUUCGAGACCCGUCACUCCCGCCA
rnacentral:tRNA from 1 species